GGAAGUCCUGAGGCACGAAGAGAGGGAAGAGCUGCGUUCUUCAUAUGUGAACGGCAAACUCCGGAAAAUGUUAGAACACAAUUUUUCCAACAUUUUCCGGAGUUCAUGUCUGAAAACAGUUUUUUCUUUGUCAAGUUUUUUUUUUGUCUUUCUACUGACAUUACAAGUAAAUGGGUUGUUUCUCUUUCUUAGAUUAUGAGUAAUCCAGUUUUGAAAGACAAAUACUUACUGAUCUCAUGUAUCAACAUACCUGUAUGACUCUGUAAGCAAUGCCAAACCCCUCUUCUAUGUUUUUUCCUCCGAGCAUGACCUGAAAUCAAGGGCACAUCGAUCCAGCUAGGCUACCUCAACCUUCAUAGGACUUCCCCCAAACAGUGUGGGUGGUGGAUUGGACCCAGGGGACUUGGAGGAAGGUGAACUGGUCUGUGGAGCCUUGGAGGAGGCAGCGGUCUCACAGCGAUGGAGGAAACGGGUCACCUCCAGCUGGAGCUCAAUUGUGUUCAUGUGCCUUUACGAAAAAAAAAUGAGACAGCAGAGGUUCAUACUUAAAAAAAACAAAACAAGAUAAAAAGUCUAUUUGACAGGAAGCAAACGUGUUAUGCAUACGUGGGAGUAAUGGAGCAGAAGCGCAGACUUAAUAAAGAUGUGUCAAAUAACCUGGAAA